rnacentral:rRNA from 1 species
AUUGAACGCUGGCGGCAGGCCUAACACAUGCAAGUCGAGCGGAUGACGGGAGCUUGCUCCUUGAUUCAGCGGCGGACGGGUGAGUAAUGCCUAGGAAUCUGCCUGGUAGUGGGGGACAACGUUUCGAAAGGAACGCUAAUACCGCAUACGUCCUACGGGAGAAAGCAGGGGACCUUCGGGCCUUGCGCUAUCAGAUGAGCCUAGGUCGGAUUAGCUAGUUGGUGGGGUAAUGGCUCACCAAGGCGACGAUCCGUAACUGGUCUGAGAGGAUGGACAGUCACACUGGAACUGAGACACGGUCCAGACUUCUACGGGAGGCAGCAGUGGGGAAUAUUGGACAAUGGGCGAAAGCCUGAUCCAGCCAUGCCGCGUGUGUGAAGAAGGUCUUCGGAUUGUAAAGCACUUUAAGUUGGGAGGAAGGGCAGUAAGUUAAUACCUUGCUGUUUUGACGUUACCGACAGAAUAAGCACCGGCUAACUCUGUGCCAGCCGCCGCGGUAA